UUUGCAUCUUCUACUCUAAUAAAGUACUGGUAUAAUUGAAAAUAAGAAGAUCUUGCAGAGGAGAGCCAAACUGCAUUGCCUAUAGAUUUUCCAAAUUUUUUCCCACCUUCAGCUGUGAUUAAUGCCCGUUCAGUUUCUCUAAAACUUGGAUCACCAAUUAAGCCUGUUGCACCACCUAAUAGGAUAAUCACUUGAUGGCCACAACGUUGCCAAUAUAAAAGAUUCAUAAGAAUUAACAAAUGGCCUAUAUGUAAACUGUCUGCAGUUGGAUCGAAUCCAGCAUAUACACAUUGUGGACUUCUCCACAAUUUCUUUAUAUCCUCUCUAAAAUGUUAAUUUACUUUUUAAAAUUGGGUUGCUUUUAGAAGUAAAAAUAAAAUAUUUAAUAAACAUUGUAUAAAGAUUCAAAAAAGAUGUUAAUAAUAUUACCUUAAUAUACUUACUUGUAAAUAAUGGGGAAAAUAUCGUCGUA